UCAGAAAACAAAAGAAAAUAGAGGGUACAUCAAUUUAAUCAAUCAGAGAAAGAGGCACCGAAGAUACCUUUGCAAAGACAGUCCAACGACGUACUCUUCAUCAACAAGGUUAUUGUUUUUGAGUACUUCGGAACUAAUUUGCAAUACGUGUUGAGGUGUUACUGAAUAAUAUCAACAUGGCUUACACAUCCUUGAAUCAAAUUUCAGUUGAGAAAGAAACGUGGAUUGUGAAAGUUAGAAUCAUUCGGAUGUGGGACGCAAUUAACAUAGCAAAUGACCAUGAGCUAAUCAGUCUUGAUAUGAUAAUGGCUGACGAAAAUGGGACACUAAUACAUGCAAGUAUUAGAAAGAAUUUUGCUCAGCGUUUCAGACCUCUCUUCAAUGAAGGAUCUGUCUACGCAAUCAAGAAUUUCAUAGUUGAGGAAUAUAGAGCGAAGUUUCGUCCAGUACA